UCGCCCUUAGAACAAAAAAUACAAAUAACUAAUUAUUCUUCUUCUUGCGCUCCCUCUUAGUCCGAUCCAACUCGUUCGUGAGACGGAGGUAUUCUUCUUCUAUUUCUUUCAUUGAAGCCUCCGCUUCAACUUGACGAGGGAGAGGAUGGCUCCGAUCCAUGGCCGGGCACGAAGUUCCUGCCGCCGCGUCUUCAAGAACGACUCGCGGAGGAAGCGGAUGGCUCCUGUCGGUUGGAGAUCGCCG
rnacentral:lncRNA from 1 species